CAGGAUGAACGCUAGCGACAGGCUUAACACAUGCAAGGUCGAGGGGCAGCAUAGAAGUAGCAAUACGUUGGUGGCGACCGGCGCACGGGUGAGUAACGCGUAUGCAACCUACCUAUCGAGAGGGGGAUAACCCGGCGAAAGUCGGACUAAUACCGCAUAAAACAGGGGCACCGCAUGGUGAUAUUUGUUAAAGAUUAAUUGCUGAUAGAUGGGCAUGCGUUCCAUUAGGUAGUUGGUGAGGUAAUGGCUCACCAAGCCGACGAUGGAUAGGGGAACUGAGAGGUUGGUCCCCCACACUGGUACUGAGACACGGACCAGACUCCUACGGGAGGCAGCAGUGAGGAAUAUUGGUCAAUGGGCGAGAGCCUGAACCAGCCAAGUCGCGUGAAGGAAGAAGGAUCUAUGGUUCGUAAACUUCUUUUGCAGGGGAAUAAAGUGGAGGACGUGUCCUCUUUUGUAUGUACCCUGAGAAUAAGGAUCGGCUAACUCCGUGCCAGCAGCGGC
rnacentral:rRNA from 1 species